ACAAACAGACUGUCGCCGACUAUGUUAUCAGAUAUACAGAUUCGCAAUGCUUUACAAUCGAGUUCGGAGCCUAAGCUUGCUUCUAGUUUGUGAAUUAUCGGUUUUGCGGGCUUCAAAGAAAAGCGUUAUUUUGAAAACCAUACCGAGAAUGGUAACAAAGUAUCGUUAUGAUUCGAUUAAUGGAACCAUAAAUAUGUACUGUGAUUGAUUCGAUAUCAAACUUAGCGGAAAAGUGGAAGACCUAGCUGUCGGCAAAGCUAUUCGAGAAACCUUCAUUCAGAUGAAUAAAAUUUCACUGGAAGAGGGAGAUGGCGUUUAUCAGCCACAACAUGUAAGUUUAUUGAGAAAGCGUAUCGUUGCAAGUCGCACUUGUUAUUCGUAUGCAUACUCCAGUGAUCAGUGUAGUUUUUACUCUAACUAGCAGUACUUUUACUCUAACAAAUUACACGAACUGGUUCCACUUUACUAUCGAGAGAAGAAACUAUUCUGAAGAAAUUGAGCAGUUUCACUCUCCAGUUAAGCAAUUAUCCUUCGUGCGAGAGAUAACGCCAAGAGUACACAACCGUCAACAACAUUCCCGAGAGAUGCUUCCUGAUUUUGCACAGCGCUGAAGCAACUGCUAUCAAGAUGGAGCCACAGUUAAUGAUGACCACCAGCUGUCGAAUAAUGAUAAUAUUUUCGAGACGGGCUCAAUCGAACAAGAAGCCGAAACGCUAAUCAGGAGAAAAUGGGAAGCUCUUUUGCAUCAGCAAAAUAGACGAAAAAGUAAACAACACAUUUAUAAUUCCGAUUGCCAUAAAAGGUUAUUUGGAUGCUCCGUAAGAAAAUCCUCGCGGACGGAGGUGUGAUGAAGGACCAUAUACGACUACACACGGAUGAAAAUAUGAUGUUUUUUUUCAUUUUAUAAACAUUGACUGGUAAUGUAUUUCAGAAAAAAACUAUUAAAAUUGGAAAAGUGUGAAAAACCUUUUUGUUCGAAAUACGAACUCAAAUUGAAAUUUGGAACUCAUACAGGAUCAUCCCAUUGCAGGUGAACGUCCCAAUCCUUGUCCAUAGUGUCCGAAUACGUUUAAUUGUUCUACAACGCUUUAAGGAAACAUUCGAAUUCAUGCGGGUAAACGUUCCAAUUCUUCUGCCCAAAAGAGUUUAUCAGUUUUUCAUCGCUCCAAAGCAUAAUCGCUUUCAUACGGGUAAUUGUCCCUAUUCUUGUUCGCAGUGUCCAAAAGAGUUUCAGCCAUCCAAAAGCACAUUCAAACUCAUACUGGUGAAUGUCAUUGCAUAACAUCUGUUGAUCCGCGCUCGGAUCGCCUUGAACUCCAUUUUGGCCGAAUCUGGUCAAACAGACAUUGAGAAAAUUUUCCGGUUGAAUGAAUUUCAAUAGGGUGGAUUAAGUGCCGCAAAAUAUGAUACAGGUUUUUAUUUGGCGUUGUAACUUUGAUGUACAACCACUGAACAUGAAUCCGGAUCAUGCUUUUAUUAUUUAUAUGAUUAUGCUUCUAUAUGAAUAUAGAGAAUAUUUGACAGAGAAUUAUAUUUUGAUAUUUUCCAGCUACUGUUAAAGUUCGAUCCGGAUGGCCUUAGGAAAUAGAAACUACUAAGAAGAGAACGUAAAUAACAACAAAACAUAUAAAUCUGAUAAGCCAUACCCUUCACUUCCAACAAUAUAUGAAUAACAGUUUGGAUCUCAAAAAUGAAUCGUCAUGUUAUAAAAUUGGUUUCCAGAUUCAUGCAUCAACAGUUUAGACACACAUACCAUGCAGUGAGAAUAUACUGCCAUCAACAUUUCUUCUGAAUUUACCAUAAAUAGAAUCAAACCGGUUUAAUUUAGAUUAUGAACUAAUAAAGUGAACCUUCCGAAUUGUGUAGCUAGUAA